rnacentral:rRNA from 1 species
AUUGAACGCUGGCGGCAGGCCUAACACAUGCAAGUCGAGCGGGGUUUUCGGACCUAGCGGCGGACGGGUGAGUAAUGCGUAGGAAGCUACCCGAUAGAGGGGAUACCAGUUGGAAACGACUGUUAAUACCGCAUAAUGUCUACGGACCAAAGUGUGGGACCUUCGGGCCACAGUGCUAUCGGAUGCGCCUACGUGGGAUUAGCUAGUUGGUGAGGUAAUGGCUCACCAAGGCGACGAUCUCUAGCUGGUUUGAGGGGAUGAUCAGCCACACUGGAACUGAGACACGGUCCAGACUCCUACGGAGGCAGCAGUGGGGAAUAUUGGACAAUGGGCGCAAGGCC